GCCCCUAUAGCUCAGUGGUAGAGUAACCCACUCGUACCGUGAUGACAUUCUAGGUGGAAUAUGUUACUAAUUUGCGAAAUGGGGAGGUCCCUCGUUCAAUCCGGGGUGGGGGCA